rnacentral:rRNA from 1 species
UUUUGGUGAGGUGCCUUCCGAGUUCCCUGGAACGGGACGCCAUAGAGGGUGAGAGCCCCGUCUGGUUGGACACCGAUCCUCUGUAAAGCUCCUUCGACGAGUCGAGUAGUUUGGGAAUGCUGCUCUAAAUGGGAGGUAUAUGUCUUCUAAAGCUAAAUACCGGCCAGAGACCGAUAGCGCACAAGUAGAGUGAUCGAAAGAUGAAAAGAACUUUGAAAAGAGAGUUAAAAAGUACGUGAAAUUGUUGAAAGGGAAGCGCUUGUGACCAGACUUGGGCUUGGUUGAUCAUCCGGGGUUCUCCCCGGUGCACUCUUCCGGCUCAGGCCAGCAUCAGUUCGCCCUGGGGGAUAAAGGCUUCGGGAAUGUGGCUCUCUCCGGGGAGUGUUAUAGCCCGCUGCGUAAUACCCUGUGGC